rnacentral:rRNA from 1 species
GACGAACGCUGGCGGCGUGCCUAAUACAUGCAAGUAGAACGCUGAAGAGAGGAGCUUGCUCUUCUUGGAUGAGUUGCGAACGGGUGAGUAACGCGUAGGUAACCUGCCUUGUAGCGGGGGAUAACUAUUGGAAACGAUAGCUAAUACCGCAUAACAAUGGAUGACACAUGUCAUUUAUUUGAAAGGGGCAAUUGCUCCACUACAAGAUGGACCUGCGUUGUAUUAGCUAGUAGGUGAGGUAAUGGCUCACCUAGGCGACGAUACAUAGCCGACCUGAGAGGGUGAUCGGCCACACUGGGACUGAGACACGGCCCAGACUCCUACGGGAGGCAGCAGUAGGGAAUCUUCGGCAAUGGGGGCAACCCUGACCGAGCAACGCCGCGUGAGUGAAGAAGGUUUUCGGAUCGUAAAGCUCUGUUGUAAGUCAAGAACGGGUGUGAGAGUGGAAAGUUCACACUGUGACGGUAGCUUACCAGAAAGGGACGGCUAACUACGUGCCAGCAGCCGCGGUAAUACGUAGGUCCCGAGCGUUGUCCGGAUUUAUUGGGCGUAAAGCGAGCGCAGGCGGUUUGAUAAGUCUGAAGUUAAAGGCUGUGGCUCAACCAUAGUUCGCUUUGGAAACUGUCAAACUUGAGUGCAGAAGGGGAGAGUGGAAUUCCAUGUGUAGCGGUGAAAUGCGUAGAUAUAUGGAGGAACACCGGUGGCGAAAGCGGCUCUCUGGUCUGUAACUGACGCUGAGGCUCGAAAGCGUGGGGAGCGAACAGGAUUAGAUACCCUGGUAGUCCACGCCGUAAACGAUGAGUGCUAGGUGUUGGAUCCUUUCCGGGAUUCAGUGCCGCAGCUAACGCAUUAAGCACUCCGCCUGGGGAGUACGACCGCAAGGUUGAAACUCAAAGGAAUCGACGGGGGCCCGCACAAGCGGUGGAGCAUGUGGUUUAAUUCGAAGCAACGCGAAGAACCUUACCAGGUCUUGACAUCCCGAUGCUAUUUCUAGAGAUAGAAAGUUACUUCGGUACAUCGGUGACAGGUGGUGCAUGGUUGUCGUCAGCUCGUGUCGUGAGAUGUUGGGUUAAGUCCCGCAACGAGCGCAACCCCUAUUGUUAGUUGCCAUCAUUCAGUUGGGCACACUAGCGAGACUGCCGGUAAUAAACCGGAGGAAGGUGGGGAUGACGUCAAAUCAUCAUGCCCCUUAUGACCUGGGCUACACACGUGCUACAAUGGUUGGUACAACGAGUUGCGAGUCGGUGACGGCGAGCUAAUCUCUUAAAGCCAAUCUCAGUUCGGAUUGUAGGCUGCAACUCGCCUACAUGAAGUCGGAAUCGCUAGUAAUCGCGGAUCAGCACGCCGCGGUAAUAAGUUCCCGGGCCU